rnacentral:rRNA from 1 species
AGUGAACGCUAGCGGCAGGCCUAACACAUGCAAGUCGAGGGGUAACAAUAGGAAAGCUUGCUUUUCUUGAUGACGACCGGCGCACGGGUGCGUAACGCGUAUACAACCUACCUUUUAGCGGGGAAUAGCCCAGGGAACUUGGAUUAAUGCCCAUAGUAUAUAGACUUCUCCUGAAGUUUAUAUUUAAACAUUUAUGGCUAUUAGAUGGGUAUGCGUCCUAUUAGUUAGUUGGUAAGGUAACGGCUUACCAAGGCAGCGAUAGGUAGGGGUCCUGAGAGGGAGAUCCCCACACUGGUACUGAGACACGGACCAGACUCCUACGGGAGGCAGCAGUGAGGAAUAUUGGACAAUGGGCGAGAGCCUGAUCCAGCCAUGCCGCGUGCAGGAAGACUGCCCUAUGGGUUGUAAACUGCUUUUACAGAGGAAGAACCACCCCCACGUGUGGGGGUUUGACGGUACUCUGCGAAUAAGGAUCGGCUAACUCCGUG